rnacentral:lncRNA from 1 species
CCCUUCUCCAGAGCGCCGUCGACCCCACGCCACGCAGAGGUGAAGAUACGCAGGACGUCCUCUAAAGCAACUUCCGUGGGUGCCAGGUUGUGGGCUGGGGGCGGUGCUGACCUUGAGAGAGCGGAGGAGGCGCAGGCGCAGCACAGUUUAAACUUGAUUUUGUGAGGGGACGAACAGCGUGACAAUUAAAAGAAGAUCUGGGAAUCAUCCAAUGUGAUAAUUUAUGUGAAAUCUUUCUGCAAACUAUACAGUAUGAUAAAAAUAUAAGGUAGUUUCACUGGAAACAACAGAAGACUAGAAGCUGAUGUGACGUGGCAAUAUCAACCAGGAAUACCCAUCUCGAGUUCUGGAUAUGUGCUCUGAGAAGGUGCCCAUGUCACCGACCACACUGGAGGCCAAUGCAGAUACUGGGGGAAGGUUCCAUGGUAGCUAAGUGUGGACAAGCUAAUCACUGAAGUUCCCUGAUGCAGAGUUGAUAAUCUCUCUAGAGUUGGAUGAAAGACUGUGCUGCCUUGAAGCUCUGAGAGAUGCCAUGCCAAUUCAAGGCAGGGUCUUUAUUGUUGAAACUCUUGCGUAAUGACAUCUUUAUUCAGGUGAAAAUACAGGAUGAAUUUCAACUAUAUGAUAUUGUUUAUGUUCCUCAGACAUGUUAUUUGUCUUUACAAAGAUUGGUUUCAAUAAACUGUGUGACUGAUAUUAAAUAAACAUGGAAUUUUACACAUUCAUAAUAAAAAAAAAA